rnacentral:ncRNA from 1 species
ACAAUGGAGAGUUUGAUCCUGGCUCAGGAUGAACGCUAGCGGCAGGCCUAAUACAUGCAAGUCGAACGGGAUCUAGA